GUGUGUAUGGUGGAGGUGGAGCGCUGGCUGGAUGGCAUACUGGAACUGUCACCGGAUGCCGCGGACCAAGGAGUCUCAGAUAGACUACAGGAAGAGCUCAACACGUGGAAGGAAUAUGUAAGUAAGAUGGAGUUGGUGGAGGGUUCAGUGAAGCGGAUCGGAGAAAAUGAUUCGGUGGUGCAUGGGGCUGCAGUACCAAAGCUAGCCCACUGGGGGCAGGCUAAGCUGGAUGAGUGCCAGUGGAGGUGGGUGACCUGAGCAAACAGCUGCUGAGCCACCAGGGGCGUGUGAGUGAGAGCCAGGGGAGGCAGGUGAACCUGAAGAAAGACUUGGCAGAGAUGCAGGAGUGGAUGGCCCAGGUGGGCGAGGGGUUUCUCGUGAGAGAGACUUUGAGUACAAGAGUCCUGGGGAGCUGGAGGGCGCACUGGAAGAGAUAAAGAGGAUGUGCUACAGAAGGAAGUGAGAGUGAAGAUAUUGAAAGACAGCAUUAUCAUGUUGCUGGCCAAGAAUAAGACGCCCUCUGGUGGCGGAGGACAGGACCUGACAGAGGAGCUGGGGGGAGUCCUGGAGAACUACCAUAAACUCUGUGACCACUUCAAGAGCAAGUGUCACACGCUGGACGUAAAGAGUUUGACAAGACUAGUCCAAACUGCUGAUGAGUGUUAAUAUCAUAAGUCUUUCUCAGUACAAGGGACAGUCCAGGUCUCCUCUAUAGGAGGUGUGGUCAUGUUGGAUGGAGCUUCUGCAGUACUUGGACCUGGAGCAGGGCUGGCUCAACACUCUGGAGGAGAAGGUUCAGGCUACAGAGAACCUACCUGAGAGCACUGAGGCUGUCAAUGAGGCUUUGGAGGUCUUCCUUGAAAAACAGACUCUGGGUCUCAAUGGGCUUUUCCUGUUUAAAAAAAGGGGAGUGACAAAUUCCAGAGUGGAACUGAAGGCCCACAAUUGACAACCCUGCUAGAGGAUCUGGAUGACAUCAGUCUGAGUGUGGACAGUCUGAGAGACCAGGCCACCCUGAUGACCAGUAGAGGUCCUGCCUGCAGAGAUGUAGUGGAACCCAAACUGGCCAAACUCAACCGCAACUUCCACAUGGUCUCCCAGUGCAUCAAAGCUGCCAUGGAGAUGAGGGUGCUGAGAGUGCGACAGGUGGAGAUCUCCAUGGACUCUUCUUCUUUAUACAUCUUCACAGAGACACAAAGACAGGACCUGACUGGAGAAGUCAUUCAUUACACGCAGGCUUACUGUUUUUACUAGCUAGCUAGCUUGGUAUCUAAGGCUAAACUGUAACAGCUGUGAAUAAUUUUAUUCACUAUCAGUCUUUAUUUUAAUUACCUUGUUUUGUUGUGACAUAUGAUAGUUACGUUAAAGGGGAAGUUCACCCAUUGUUACAUGUGGCCUGAUUUUCACUCUUUCUGUGCUUUCAUCCUUUUUAAAAAUAUUUCAUUUUGGUUGUCACAUUUUGCGGAGUCAUCACUUGCCAUGGACUGUAAUGCAAAUACACUCUAAAACACUCCACACCAACUCAUAUUACAUCAGAAUCCUAUUCUGAAUGAUGUCUCUGCACUUAAUGUUGUAUUUGUUUUCACUGAGCCAUAAAUCCAUGUUUGAAAGAUGCUGUUUACAAUAACAAAAAUAUGCAAAUGUGGAUUCAUGGGACAGUGAAGAAACAUCAUUCAGAAUAUGAUUUGGAUUGGAGUGUUUUGGAGUCUUUUCUAACAUGCUUUAGACACAUUUUCAUAAUGCAUUGUAGUCGAUGGAAAGUGAUAACUCAGCAAAUAUUUUC
ensembl:lncRNA